AUAAACAGCCCGCUGCCCCAGUGAGAAGAGCAACAAACAGAAUAAUUAAAAAAACAACCAACUGACAAAUCUGAACAAGCCGCUUUGGUGGUGAGGACCCGAUUAAUUACACUCGUCCACACCCAAGCUUGGCAGAAGGGGGUGCCCUGGGAAUGUCUGCAGAAGCCAACCCCGUGCCUGAGGGGUCAGGGGUUAGGGUUGACAGCCCUUCCCUGAAGCUGGAUGAGACCCAGCCCGGGAGUAACUCCAGCCUGAAAGAGAACUAAUUGAGGAAGCUUCUUCUAAAGGAGGCCAAGGUGGGCGCAUUACCUGAGGUCGGGAGUUUGAGACCAGCCUGACCAACAUGGAGAAACCCCAUCUCUACUAAAAAGACAAAAUUAGCCAGGUGUGGUGGUGCAUGCCUGUAAUCCCAGCUACUUGGGAGCCUGAGACAGGAGAAUCACUUGAACCCGGGAGGCAGAGGUUGUGGUGAGCCGAGAUCGUGCCAUUGGAUUCCAGCCUGGGCAACAAGAGCGAAACUGUGCCAAAACAAACAAACAAACAAAAAAAAAAACAUGACCUUUGCUUUCUUCUGGUGUACUCUCCCUUAAUACAGCUUUACUCAUCUUUUCAUUUUCAAUAUUCUGUUCUAAUUGUGUUUCAGAUAGAGAGAAUUAUGUUUUGCCUUACGAUUUAACUUAAAAAUGUUUUUCUCUUAGUUGGGAUGCUAACCCAAUUUGUAUUCAUAGAUGUGACUAAGGUAUAUUUAGUCUUAGAUCUGUUAUAUUGUUUUCCAUUUUUUUAAAAUUUGUCUGUUUGCUUUUGCUUUGUUUUUUAUAUGUAGUUCUUCUGAUAUUUAGAAAGAUUAGUAUAUUUAGAAAGAUUAGUAUAUUAGUAUAUUUAGAAAAAUUAGUAUAUUUUUCCUAGUAGACAACUUUAUAAUGAUAACUUUAUUUUGUAAUUUAGUUUUUAUUUUUAUUUUUAUUUAUUUAUUUUUGAGAUAGAGUCUUGCUCUGUUACCCAGGCUGGAGUGCAGUGGCGUGAUCUUGGCUCACUGCAGCCUGCCUCCCAGGUUCAAGUAAUUCUCCGGCCUCAGCCUCCCAAGUAGCUGGGACUACAGCCACAUGCCACCAUGCCCAGCUAAUCUUUUGUAUUUUUGGUAGAGAUGGGGUUUCACCGUGUUAGCCAGGAUGGUCUUGAUCUGCUGACCUUGUGAUCCGCCUGCCUCAACCUCCCAAAGUGCUGGGAUUACAGGAGUGAGCCACCAAGCCCGGUCCUUACUUAUUUAUUUUUUUAGAUGGAAUCUCACUCUAUUGCCCAGGCUGGAGUACAGUGGCACAAUCUCGGCUCAUUGCAACCUCCACCUCCUGGGUCCAAGCAAUUCUCCCACCUCAGCCUCCUGAGAAGCUGGGACUACAGGCGUGUGCCACCAUGCCUGGCUAAUUUUUGUAUUUUCCACUAGAGACUGGGUUUCACUAUGUUGGCCAGGCUGGUCUCAAACUCCUGACCUCAAGUGAUCCACCCACCUCGGCAUCCCAAAGUGCUGGGAUUAUAGGCGUGAACCACUGCUCCCGGCUAUAAUGAUAAUUUUUUUUUUUUUUUUUGAGACAGAGUUUCACUCUUGUUGCCCAGGCUGGAGUGCAAUGGCACAAUAUCAGCUCACCCCCACUUCUGCCUCACAGGUUCAAGCGAUUCUCCUGUCUCAGCCUCCCGAAUAGCUGGGAUUACAGGCAGGCACCACCACACCUGGCUAAUUUUGUAUUUUUAGUAGAGACGGGGUUUCUCCAUGUUGGUCAGGCUGGUCUCGAACUCUCGACCUUAGGUGAUCUGCCCACCUCGGCCUCCCAAAGCGCUGGGAUUACAGGCAUGAGCCACCAUGCCUGGCCAUCCUUUGUUCUUUUAAUAUGUUUACAGUUUUGUUACUUGAGCUGUCAAUUUUAGUAUCAGUCAGGAUCUAGAAAAACAGAAACUACACUAAAACAUUUAAAACUUCAGGUUUUAAAGACUUUAGGCCGGGCGCGGUGGCUCAUGCCUGUAAUCCCAGCAUUUUGGGAGGCUGAGGUGGGUGGAUCACCUGAGGUCAGGAGUUCAAGACCAGCCUGGGCAAUAUGGCGAAACCCCGUCUCUACAAAAAUACAAAAAAAAAAAAAAAAAAAAAUUAGCUGGGUGUGGUGGCAUGCGCCCGUAGUCCCAGCUACUCAGGGGGCUGAGGCAGGAGAAUCGCUUGAACCUAGGAUGCGGAGGUUGCAGAGAGCUGAGAUCGCGCCAUUGCACUCCAGCCUGGGUAACAGAACAAGAUGCCGUCUCAAAAAAAAAAAAAAAGAAAGAAAGAAAAGAAAAAGCAACAACAACAAAAAACUAAUGAUUGACUUUAAUUCAGGAAAUUGGUUAUAUGGGUGGUAGAAGAAUCAAGAAGCCAAAUGAGACUGGGUAGGAACCCACAGAUUAGUGACACCAGAAAGCCAUGACUUCCUCUAGGUGGGUGGGAGGAGGUGGUGUGACUGUUUGGGGACAGGGGUUACCUGGUAGUAGCUGUGACCUAAGAAAAAUGUGUGGGCCGGGUGCGGUGGCUCACGCCUGUAAUCCCAACACUUUGGGAGGCUGAGGUGGGCAGAUGGCCUGAGGUCAGGAGUUUGAGACGAGCCUGGCCAACACGAUGAAACCCGGUGUCUACUAAAAAUACAAAAUUAGUGAAACUCUGUCUCAAAAGAAAAGAAAAGAAAAAUGUUGUGGGAUAGGAGCUUUAGCCCCAGAGGCAAUGCAGCUGCUACUGGCAAUGUUGCCCAAGCUUCUCUCCUUCCUGUCACUUUCCAGUUGUCCUCUUGUUUCUUGACAUGGCUGACCCAGAAAAAAGUCAGGAGACACAGGAGCUGUGAAACACAGCUUGCAGGGCCCAGCCUUCUCGUGACACUGAUCAGAGCAGCAAAGGGGUGAGGACUGGAUCUGAGGGCAAGGGGGCCAAGGACCAGGUUUAAACGGUACCCUUUGACGACCAGUUUCUACUUUUUUUUUUUUUUUUUGAGACAGAGUCUUGCUCUGUCGCCAGGCUGGAGUGAAGUGGCGCGAUCUCAGCUCACUGCAACUUCCACCUCCCAGGUUCAAGCAGUUCUCCUGCCUCAGCCUCCUAAGUAGCUGCGACUACAGGUGCACGCCACCAUGCCCAGCUAAUUUUUGUAUUUUUAGUAGAGAUGGCGUUUCACCAUGUUGGCCAGGAUGGUCUUGAUCUCUUGACCUCGUGAUCCAUCCAGCUUGGCCUCCCAAAGUGCUGGGAUUACUGGCGUGAGCGACCGCGCCCAGCUGACCAGUUACUACUGAUGACAUGUUCAUGAGCUUAUCCUCCUUCUUACCUCAUUUCCCCACUCACUGUUUGUGUCGGUAGCAUCAUUUCUGCAUUGUCAAGCAUAUGCCAUUUGCAGUCUGUUCUGUCACCCUCCUCCCACCCCAUCUGUUUUAGUCUUAGUUCCGUGGCUCUGGAUAUUCAAGACCCACUCAGAGUAUCUUGCCCUCAUUACUCCAAUUAUUUCUUAUUCAGCUAGAAUAGACACUCUAGUAGUGUCCUUAAGGAUGACGCAAGGAUCAAUAUACUCUGCAUCUUGGCCGGGUGUGGUGGCGCACACCUAUAGUCCCAGCUACUCGGGUAGUUGAGGCAGGAGAAUCGCUUGAACCCGGGCUGGGGGGGGCGAGGGGGGUGCCAGAGGUUGCAGUGAGCCAGGAUCGCACCACUGCACUCUAGCCUGGGUGACAGAGUGAGUGACAGACACUGUCCCAAAAACAAAACAAACUAAACAAAACAAAACAAAAAACUGUAUCUCUAGACUCACACUUAAGGACAGUUAGGCUCAACAGGCCACUCUUGUCCCUUUCUUUCCUUAAAUAUCUUGUGAGUGUUGUUCUACUGUUUAAUAUGGGUUAAAAUAGUGCACAAAGGAAUCCAAGGCCAGCCUGAGUUUUCCCCUUUUGUAAAUAACUAGAUUUUUGUGUGCUGGGCUGCCCAAAAAAGCCUAUCAUUUCAUUAAAAGUUCAAUAACUUUUCUAGAAUAUUUAUCUAUGACUAUUUGGGGUCAAUUUUCUUUUUUUGUAUGUGUGACAGGGUCUUGCUCUGUUGCCCAGGCUGGAGGGCAAUGGCAUGAUCAUGGCUCACUGCAGCCUCAAACUCGUGGGCUCAAGCGAUCCUCCCACCUCAGCCUCCCAAAGUGUUGGGAUUACAGGCGUGAGUAACCACGCCCGGCCUGGGUAAUUCUGAUUGACUUAUCUUGCAUUUCAUUUAGUCUUUCCUCUGAGGAGAUUUUCUAUUUGCUAAGACAACAUGUGUUUUUUACUUCACUGACAGUAGCUACAAUAUCUACUUUAAAAUCCUGUCUGUGAGUUUCAACUGGGUUCAAAUUGGGAUGUGGCUUGAUUGAUUCUCUUUUUUCUUGAGAAUGAAUUCCAUUUUCUCAUUUCUUUUUCUUUUUUUUUCUUUUUUUUGAGACAGAGUCUUGCUCUGUCACCCAGGCUGGAGUGCAGUGGCACGAUCUCAGCUCACUGCAACCUCCGCCUCCCAGGUUCAAGGAUUCUCCUGCCUCAGCCACCUGAGUAGCUGAGACUACAGACACACGCCACCACGCCCAGCUAAUUUUGUAUUUUUAGUAGAGAUGGGGUUUCACCAUGUUGGCCAGGCUGGUCUCAAACUCCUGACCUCAGGUGAUCCACCCGCCUCGCCCUCCCAAAGUGCUGGGAUUACAGGUGUGAGCCACUGCACCCGGCCAAAUUCCAUGUUCUUGAUUCUUCAUGUGACAGGUAAUUUUGGAUUGAUCCUGGAAUUCAAAUAUUAAAUUGCGGAAAUUCUGGAUUCUGUUACUUUUCUCCAAUGCGUGUUUUUCGCCCUUUGUGUUAGCAGGAAAUUUUAGCGUGAAGAGUGUCUCUUGGAUGGUAGCUGUGUUCUCAGUUUAGAUUUAAUUUCCUGAGCUGGGCUGCUUUAAGCCUGUUUCACAUAUGUGUGCCUCUGGGGUCUGUCAGAGAUAUAAUUUGAGCAUCCCAUUUCUAAAUGUUUCCCUCUGGGACCCUGUCAUUCUCUUCAGCAUUCAUGGUUUUCUGGCUUCAUUUUUCUUGCUCCCCAUGCCAGAAAGCCUGUGGAUUUGCCAUGUCUACUGGCCUUCAUGCUACAUGGACUGCCCACGGCCACAGGCAAAAAGCCACAGAGAUGGGAUUUGCUUGUCUGGCUCUCUCCCUGCAUGCACCAGCACUCCAGCUGCUCUCCUCACCCGCCACCGUUACCUUCCGUUCGUGCUCCAGGACUUUCCCGUCGUUGCUUUUCAUGUCAUUUUCGGGUUUGAUCAUUGUUUUCUAUGAGGGAGGUGUCUAUAUUCCAGUCCAAUAUACCCAGGGCAAAAUCUAGACUGAAGUUUUGAUAUCAGAAUAGACAUGAUUAGACUUUUAGCACCUGAAAAAGAGACUUCUUGUUAUUACCUGAAAGUCACUGAAUAUAACAUUGUUUCUCUGAGUGGGGAGGAAAACUUCAAAUAGUGUGUAUUUGAAAAAAAAAGGGCAAUGGCUGGGCGCAGUGGCUCAUGCCUAUAAUCCCAGCACUUUGGGAGGCUGAGGCAGGUGGAUGGCUUGAGUCCAGGAGUUCGAGACCAGCCUGGCCAACAUAGUAAAACCCCAUCUCCACUAAAAAUACAAAAAUUAGCCAGCCUUGGUGGUGCACGCCUGUAAUCCCAGCUACUCGGGAGGCUGAGGCAGGAGAAUCGCUUGAACCUGGGAGGCAGAGGUUGCAGUGAGCCUGGAUUGCAUCACUGCACUCCAGCCUAGGUGACAGAGCGAGACUCUGUCUCAAAAAAAUAAAAUAAAAUAAAUAAAAAAUAGAAAAGGUUCUCUAUGUCAACUUAUUAAUUAUACUGGGUGCAAGUGGAGAAAAGCAUUUAUUUAUUUUCCACUCCACACACACAUUGCUUUUCAAUACCCCCAAUCUUAUCAAUAGGGUUGCAGCACAGUUUUUGUUUAAUUAAUUUUAAUUGUUUGCAUUUUAUGAUCUGUAUAGUAUUCUUCAUAACAGAGCCAUUGAGUAUACUAUGAAUACAUUUUUUGUCUUGUUCUAUUCCCCCCUAGAGAUAGUAAUUGAUUUGAACUUCUUUGUUUCUACAUUUGAGUUUUUGUUCACUUGGUUUCACAUUUGCCUAUUAUGCCACCUUCUAACUUUCUCAACACAGCACAAUAAGUCCCUUAAUAAAUUCAGAAUCAUUGUUA